GCUUAAGUAUUUUAAUGUAAAAUGCUGAUUUGUGGGAUCAGUGAUAUGAUUAUUUCAUCUUAGGUC
rnacentral:tRNA from 1 species